rnacentral:lncRNA from 1 species
CUUUCAUUCAGUAUCUUAGAGCAGACCUUGUGCUCCCUAUUCCUUUCUUUAGUCUUUCCCCCUUCCUUUUUCCUUCUCCAGGCCAGCGAUGUGAGCCACAUAUAUAAUUUUAAACUUUCUAGUAGCCACAUCUUAAAAAAUGUGAAAUUGCGUUUUAUUUAACUAAAAUAUUGUUAUCCCAAUGUCAUCAAUAUUUGAAUGAUUAAGAUGCUUGAUAUUGUCUUUGAAACCCAGCGUGCAUUUUAAUUUACAGAACGUCAAAGUUGGACUAGCUGAGUUUCAAGUCCCCGAUAGACAGCUGCAGUUGUUGGACCUCAUGGCCCUGCAAUCAAGAGGAGGAUGGUAACGCUGCUAGUUUGAAACUGAGAAACAGCCUCCCGGAGGCAAGCCCUGGUGAUGGUGAGAUCUCUCAACCAGCUUCCCUUCGCACCCACCCCCACCCCCAUCCCGGCUCGGCAGCGAGGCAAGUAGGGCAGAGCGUGAAGCCCGGCCGGAACAGCGGGAAAGCCCAGAGCAGGCGUGGGGGAUGGGCACUGGGCGGAAAGCGCGGCGGGACCCAGGCGCAUGCGCACUCGUCUCGCUCGCCCCUCCGGGCAUCCUAGCAACCGGGUUCCAAACCAGCGUCUUUUUUUUCCCAACCUGGAGUUCUCGUCCAGCCAACCAGUCUCGGCCCUUCCCUGUCUGUGAUUCUUCCUAGUCACUUCCGCUCCCUUCCACCGGUUCUGAGCUCACUGGGCGUGCUUGUCGCCCAGCAACCUGCACCGGCUCCUGAAAUGGGCCCUCGUGGUUUUGGCCAGGAAACCAUCCUCUGGCGCCUCUGGCACCCUCUGUUCGGGUUGAGGUGGCUGCAGAGCCUGGGGCUGCUCCUGUGGCCUCACGGGGCCCACGGAGUGGCUUUCUACCUACCUCCCGGGAUUGGCCCCGGUCAACUUCAGUAAGGCGGGCCAAGAGACCGCAUCCUGUCAGAUGCUGCUACCCCAUGUAGAAAACCCACCUCACUGCCGGCCCAUACAGAAGAAACUGAAAAUGCACCUGCAGCAAUCUCAGUGACCAAGGGGGCGGCAGUUCACUGUACUCAUAAAUUUCGGCGAGGUACUGACCACCGCUUUGAGCACCUCUUGGGAUUGCAGAGGCCAAAGGUGACUUGUACUAAUCUCGCUCCUUCCCUCCUUCCUUCCUAUUUUUCUUUCUCCCUCCACUCCUCUCCUCCUCCCUUACUCCCGUCCUCCCUACCUCACUCCUCCCUCCCCGUCUCCCCUCCUCCCUUCCCUUCUUGCCUCCU